UACGGGGGGGGCAAGCGUUGUUCGGAAUCACUGGGCGUAAAGCGCGCGUAGGCGGCUUUUCAAGUCAGGGGUGAAAUCCCACGGCUCAACCGUGGAAUUGCCUUUGAAACUGUAAAGCUGGAGUGUCGGAGGGGAUAGCGGAAUUGCUAAUGUAGAGGUGAAAUUCGUAGAUAUUAGCAGGAACACCGGUGGCGAAGGCGGCUAUCUGGACGACAACUGACGCUGAGGCGCGAAAGCGUGGGGAUCAAACAGG
rnacentral:rRNA from 1 species